CAGUAGCCACGGGAAUACGGAGGGGGCUAGCGUUGUUCGGAAUUACUGGGCGUAAAGCGCACGUAGGCGGUUUUGUAAGUCAGAGGUGAAAGCCCGGAGCUCAACUCCGGAACUGCCUUUGAGACUGCAUCACUUGAACGUCGGAGAGGUGAGUGGAAUUCCGAGUGUAGAGGUGAAAUUCGUAGAUAUUCGGAAGAACACCAGUGGCGAAGGCGGCUCACUGGACGACUGUUGACGCUGAGGUGCGAAAGCGUGGGGAGCAAACAGGAUUAGAUACCCGUAGUCCCUGUCUCUUAUACAC
rnacentral:rRNA from 1 species